GACGAACGCUGGCGGCGUGCCUAAUACAUGCAAGUCGAGCGAGCGGAACCAACAGAUUUACUUCGGUAAUGACGUUGGGAAAGCGAGCGGCGGAUGGGUGAGUAACACGUGGGGAACCUGCCCCUAAGUCUGGGAUACCAUUUGGAAACAGAUGCUAAUACCGCAUAACAACAAAAGCCACAUGGCUUUUGUUUGAAAGAUGGCUUUGGCUAUCACUCUGGGAUGGACCUGCGGUGCAUUAGCUAGUUGGUAAGGUAACGGCUUACCAAGGCGAUGAUGCAUAGCCGAGUUGAGAGACUGAUCGGCCACAAUGGAAACUGAGACACGGUCCAU
rnacentral:rRNA from 1 species